UACAGAGGUCUCAAGCGUUGUUCGGAUUCAUUGGGCGUAAAGGGUGCGUAGGCGGCGCGGUAAGUCGGAUGUGAAAACUCGGAGCUUAACUUCGAAACUGCAUUCGAUACUGCCGUGCUUGAGGACUGGAGAGGAGACUGGAAUUUACGGUGUAGCGGUGAAAUGCGUAGAUAUCGUAAGGAAGACCAGUGGCGAAGGCGGGUCUCUGGACAGUUCCUGACGCUGAGGCACGAAGGUCAGGGGAGCAAACGGG
rnacentral:rRNA from 1 species